GAUGAACGCUGGCGGCGUGCCUAAUACAUGCAAGUCGAGCGAACAGACGAGGAGCCUGCUCCUCUGACGUUAGCGGCGGACGGGUGAGUAACACGUGGAUAACCUACCUAUAAGACUGGGAUAACUUCGGGAAACCGGAGCUAAUACCGGAUAAUAUAUUGAACCGCAUGGUUCAAUAGUGAAAGACGGUUUUGCUGUCACUUAUAGAUGGAUCCGCGCCGCAUUAGCUAGUUGGUAAGGUAACGGCUUACCAAGGCAACGAUGCGUAGCCGACCUGAGAGGGUGAUCGGCCACACUGGAACUGAGACACGGUCCAGACUCCUACGGGAGGCAGCAGUAGGGAAUCUUCCGCAAUGGGCGAAAGCCUGACGGAGCAACGCCGCGUGAGUGAUGAAGGUCUUCGGAUCGUAAAACUCUGUUAUUAGGGGAGAACAAAUGUGUAAGUAACUAUGCACGUCUUGACGGUACCUAAUCAGAAAGCCACGGCUAACUACGUG
rnacentral:rRNA from 1 species